rnacentral:rRNA from 1 species
AUUGAACGCUGGCGGCAUGCCUUACACAUGCAAGUCGAACGGCAGCAUGGAGAGCUUGCUCUCUGAUGGCGAGUGGCGAACGGGUGAGUAAUGCAUCAGAACGUACCGUGUAAUGGGGGAUAACGUAGCGAAAGUUACGCUAAUACCGCAUACGACCUGAGGGUGAAAGCAGGGGAUCGCAAGACCUUGCGUUAUACGAGCGGCCGAUGUCAGAUUAGCUAGUUGGUGAGGUAAAGGAUCACCAAGGCGACGAUCUGUAGCGGGUCUGAGAGGAUGAUCCGCCACACUGGGGCUGAGACACGGCCCAGACUCCUACGGGAGGCAGCAGUGGGGAAUUUUGGACAAUGGGGGCAACCCUGAUCCAGCCAUGCCGCGUGAGUGAAGAAGGCCUUCGGGUUGUAAAGCUCUUUCGGCCGGGAAGAAAUCGCACAGGCUAAUACUCUGUGUGGAUGACGGUACCGGCAUAAGAAGCACCGGCUAACUACGUGCCAGCCGCCGCCGUAA